rnacentral:misc_RNA from 1 species
GAAUUUCGUAGUCGCAAUCGCAAGAUUUGGCUGCGUUUCUGGCGCUUGCCGUUCAUUUGUGGCGCAAAAUAAUGUAAACAGUGUCAUUUCUCGCAUUUCUUGCUCUCGAAUGCACUCCUUGCUUUGUAUGGUUGAUUAUUUGAUAAAUAUUUAAAGUUUUGUUGCAAUGCCUGGUCAGAAAUGCUGUGUAAGAAAUUGCAAUGGAACGAAAGAUCUCAGCGCUAUUCCCGGUGGCAAAAUUGACGACACGCGAAGAAAAGUUUGGCUGACACAUUGUAGAAAAAAUUCUUCUUUGCUGAAGCAAGGGCGUGUUUGCCGCAAACAUUUCAGCCCCACUCAGAUGGUGGAAGCAAAUGGCAAGCUAUACUUGAAACAUGACGCCGUACCGGACCAAAACCUUCCUGGCCCCCCAUCAGAUGAUGACGAGCCACGCAUGGCUACCAAGAGACUUCGCCACUCCUCAGAUGAUGACGGACCGCCCGUGGCUGAUGGUCGUCCUGGUUCAUCAGAGCCAGAUGCCACCAUGUGCGACCCACGGACCAACAGUCCGCAGUCCGCAGUGCCUCGCCAUCUCGUGGAUCUGUCCUCCACUCCUCUGUCUGUGGAUGGAAAAAGGAGCUCCACGAGCAAGAAACGCGCUCUCAACCUAACACCAACAUCAAAAGUGAGGCGAACCAAGGUCACAAGUGCGGCUCGAAACGCGAGACGGGUGUGCUUGUCAACCAAAGGACAUCAGGAGCUCCAGCAGGUGUGCAAGUCGAUGGCAUGCACCAGCGGAACUGCAGUCAGGCGUCUUUGUAAGAUCAGCAACAUGGUAAACCGUUGUUGUGUCAAGACAUGCAAGCAACACUUCGAUUACAAGCCCCAACAUACGCAGGGUGCAAAAUGGAAACUACACAGGAUGCCCAAGGCUGGAGACAGCAGGCGCCAGGCGUGGCUGGAUGCCUUGGGCCUCCCAUCGGCCGAUAAGACUCUCUACGUGUGCAGCAUGCAUUUUGUUGACAGCGAUUACACCCCAAAUCGCUUCCUCCAGCCGGAGGCUGUACCCUCGAAGAACCUUGGUACGUCACCUGCGACGGCGACGUCACCUGCGAGUUCCGCGGAACCCCUGACGCCGUCACCAGCUGGACCAUCCGCGGCACUGGACCAUCCAGCGACGGCCGUGACGCCGUCACCAGCUGGACCAUCCGCGGCACUGGACCAUCCAGCGACGGCCGUGGCGUCGACUCUGCCGACGCCGGAGACGUCGGCGACGUCAGCUGCGCCGCUGGUGUCAACACCGCAUGGACACCAGCUGCGAGCUGGUAAACGGCGGUGGAGUGGAAGCAGGUUCCCAGCUAGAAAAGCACUCGAGAGCGAAAAGAAAUGCCCUUAAAGCAUGUGGUCUCAAAAAGUGAACCAAGGUCCUCAAAGGUCAAUGGGCUUGGCCUGAUCUUCACAUGACCUUGAUACCCACCAUGAUGCAUGGGGCCAACAUCAUUUCACACGUUUGAACGUUUACAACCACAAAAAGGCUGGAACUGCGCAGAAAACUGCCGACGAACGACCGUCAGAGAUGUCCACGUCUGAUGGCCAGCGGGAACGUGACAUCCAACCAAGCACUGAGGAGGAGACAGUGGAGGAGUCUGUGUCUGACGGUGACGUUGAUGACUCUG